ACCAUCAUUUUUUUAAAUAACAAAUCCAACAACCAACAGACAAUAAAAGUGUUUUUCAAGACUGAUAAGGACUUAAAACAUUUUCAGUCACAAAAUGAAAUCAGUAUUAAUCGGUUGCUUGAUACUUUCCCUUAUCAUUGCGUUGUUCGUGGGACAGUGUGAAGUGGGUGCAACCAAAAACCGCUCAUUGAAAAAGUUUAAUCGUACUAUUGGAGCUAGGACUAUUUUGUUUGUACCAUCAAGAUGUAGAGUUGAUAAUAAAGGCCGAUGUCGUCAGAAGCUCAAGUUACAUUGAGAGUAAAUACAUACAAAUACGUUGUGACAGAGACUUAAGAAUUGAUGGAUUAAUUACAUAAAUAAAUAUACUUUUUUAUU